rnacentral:rRNA from 1 species
GAUGAACGCUAGCGGCAGGCUUAAUACAUGCAAGUCGAGGGGCAGCAUGAUUGUAGCAAUACAAUUGAUGGCGACCGGCAAACGGGCGCGGAACACGUACACAACCUUCCAACAAGUGGGGGAUAGCCCAGAGAAAUUUGGAUUAAUACCCCGUAACAUAGCGAUGUGGCAUCACAUUGCUAUUAUAGAUUUUUCGCUUGUUGAUGGGUGUGCGGCUGAUUAGAUAGUUGGCGGGGUAACGGCCCACCAAGUCUACGAUCAGUAGCUGAUGGGAGAGCAUGAUCAGCCACACGGGCACUGAGACACGGGCCCGACUCCUACGGGAGGCAGCAGUAAGGAAUAUUGGACAAUGACGCAAGUCUGAUCCAGCCAUGCCGCGUGAAGGAUUAAGGUCCUCUGGAUUGUAAACUUCUUUUAUAAGGGACGAAAAAAGGCUUUUCUAGGUCGUCUGACGGUACCUUAUGAAUAAGCACCCGCUAACUCCGUGCCAGCCGCCGCUGUAAAAC